rnacentral:rRNA from 1 species
UAGCCAAGUCCGGAAGGGAUAAACGCUGAAGGCAUCUAAGCGUGAAGCCCCCCUCAAGAUGAGAUAUCCCAUUCUUAGUGAAGUAAACCCCCUUGAAGACGACGAGGUAGAUAGGGCAGAGGUGGAAGUGUGGUAACACAUGGAGCUGACUGUUACUAAUCGGGUGAGGGCUUGACCAA